rnacentral:rRNA from 1 species
AACAGGAUUAGAUACCCUGGUAGUCCACGCCGUAAACGAUGUCGAUUUGGAGGUUGUGCCCUUGAGGCGUGGCUUCCGGAGCUAACGCGUUAAAUCGACCGCCUGGGGAGUACGGCCGCAAGGUUAAAACUCAAAUGAAUUGACGGGGGCCCGCACAAGCGGUGGAGCAUGUGGUUUAAUUCGAUGCAACGCGAAGAACCUUACCUGGUCUUGACAUCCACAGAACUUUCCAGAGAUGGAUUGGUGCCUUCGGGAACUGUGAGACAGGUGCUGCAUGGCUGUCGUCAGCUCGUGUUGUGAAAUGUUGGGUUAAGUCCCGCAACGAGCGCAACCCUUAUCCUUUGUUGCCAGCGGUCGGCCGGGAACUCAAAGGAGACUGCCAGUGAUAAACUGGAGGAAGGUGGGGAUGACGUCAAGUCAUCAUGGCCCUUACGACCAGGGCUACACACGUGCU